rnacentral:rRNA from 1 species
CCUACGGGUGGCAGCAGUGGGGGAUAUUGGUCAAUGGGCGGAACCCUGAUCCAGCGACGCCGCGUGAGUGAAGAAGUAUUUCGGUAUGUAAAGCUCUGUCAGCAGGGAAGAAAGAAAUGACGGUACCUGACCAAGAAGCCUCGGCUAACUACGGGCCAGCAGCCGCGGCAAUACGGAGGGGGCAAGCGUUAUCCGGAAUUACUGGGUGUAAAGGGAGCGUAGACGGUUAAGUAAGUCUGGAGUGAAAGUCCGGGGCCCAACCCCGGGACUGCUGUGGAAACUAUUGAACUUGAGUGCAGGAGAGGUAAGCGGAAUUCGUGGUGUAGCGGUGAAAUGCGUAGAUAUUAGGAAGAACACCAGUGGCGAAGGCAGCUUACUGGACUGUAACUGACGUUGAGGCUCGAAAGCGUGGGGAGCAAACAGGAUUAGAUACCCUUGUAGUC